rnacentral:lncRNA from 12 species
ACAGGAUCUGAAACUCCUGGCAUGAAGUAUGUGUGGGAUGGUGCAGAAUCAAGGCUAUGCAGGAGGGUGUGGGUUGAAGCCACUUCAAAGUAAAAAAGGGCUGGUCUAAGUGGCACAUAUUUGAAUCAGCUGUGGGAAAACAAGCACACAGCAGCUAUUUUUAGUUUGUGUCAGAAACUGCAAGAGUGAGAGUUGCUCAUAGAGUAGAAUACUGGCUUUGGAUAUAGGAGAUGAAGACUUUUUCAGCACCGCCACUAACUUCCGUGCUGACAGCCAGUGAGGAAGAGCCGAGGGAAGACGGAGUAUGAAAAGAGAGGAAGACAGCUGCUGGACAUGGAAACUUUUAAAUGCAUAAUGCAGCAGAGUAUGAGGUCACAAAAUAAAGAUGGCUUCUGCACGUAUUUGCAGCUAGAGUAUUCAGAGCAAGUGGAUGCUUUGGCCCAAGAGAAAGAGGUUUCCUUCCAGCUGCCUGCUGCGCUGCAAGGGCUGUCAUAUGGGGGUCCCGUGCUGCGCAUUCUCUCUAUGCCUGACGACACCGUAAUCAUGAUCAGAGAAGAUGGAGCGAUUUAUUUCUGGUCCCUGCAGCUGAAGUUGAAAAGAAGAAAGAGAGUUUUUGUAUGUGAUUUUCAUUUGAUAAGGAUGCUGAGUGCUCCAGUUUGA